rnacentral:rRNA from 1 species
UACGUAGGGGGCGAGCGUUGUCCGGAAUCAUUGGGCGUAAAGCGCGUGUAGGCGGCCCGGUAAGUCCGCUGUGAAAGUCCAGGGCUCAACCCUGGGAUGCCGGUGGAUACUGUCGGGCUAGAGUCCGGAAGAGGAGUGUGGAAUUCCUGGUGUAGCGGUGAAAUGCGUAGAUAUCAGGAGGAACACCUGUGGUGUAGACAGCUUACUGGACCACUUUUGACGCUGAGACACGAAAGCGUGGGUAGCAAACAGG